rnacentral:rRNA from 1 species
CCUACGGGUGGCAGCAGUGGGGAAUAUUGGACAAUGGGCGAAAGCCUGAUCCAGCCAUGCCGCGUGUGUGAAGAAGGCCUUCGGGUUGUAAAGCACUUUCAGUGGGGAAGAAAGCCUUGGGGCUAAUACCCUCGAGGAAGGACAUCACCCACAGAAGAAGCACCGGCUAACUCCGUGCCAGCAGCCGCGGUAAUACGGAGGGUGCGAGCGUUAAUCGGAAUUACUGGGCGUAAAGCGCGCGUAGGCGGUCUGAUAAGCCGGUUGUGAAAGCCCCGGGCUCAACCUGGGAACGGCAUCCGGAACUGUCAGGCUUGAGUGCAGGAGAGGAAGGUAGAAUUCCCGGUGUAGCGGUGAAAUGCGUAGAGAUCGGGAGGAAUACCAGUGGCGAAGGCGGCCUUCUGGACUGACACUGACGCUGAGGUGCGAAAGCGUGGGUAGCAAACAGGAUUAGAUACCCGAGUAGUC